rnacentral:lncRNA from 1 species
ACUUCGGUAAGCACAACCUACCUGUUAUCGCGUUCCGAUUGCUUGUCGACACUUGCAAUCGGCCUCCCGCGGCACACGCCGUCCGGUUCAGCUCGAUCUCACGCUCGACCACCGAAUGACCACCAAUUCACAAUCCGAAAAUUAAAGGUCUGUAACUUGAUGCCACGAUGCUUCGGAUCCGUUCUUGUGAUUUUUGGACGUCGCUUCGGCCCUCCAGGCGGAAACAAAGCCGAAACGUUCGUUUCUUCAAUAUCUUCGCACUAGCUCGACGAAUCGCCGAACCGACUUCGCCAACGCGUUCGUAUAC